ensembl:lncRNA
CGUGAGUCCUCUGCGCCAUGUCUGUGCAGUUUGGAUGCAAACAAAUCAAUGGAUUAUUUACCAGGAGAUAUGGAUGUAUGGAAUCAUUUCAAUAAAACACUUCUGUGUUGUGUGGGUCUUGAGUGUUUACGCUGCAGAAAACUGACGAGCAAUGCUACAGUCUGCCGACAAACACAUGAGGAAGAGGAGAAUGUUGGCGGUCCAGCAUAUACAAAGAGAAAGUAACCAAGGGAAGUGUCAUCGCUGAAGGAAUGGCAGACGUUACUCAGACACUUGUGAACACUGAGCAAUGGUUGGAGUCCAAGACAGUGGACAUCAUCUUUGUUAUACUUCUGACUGGACUAGCAGCGAGCAUUAAAGCCAAUGAGAAAAACUCAAAAGAAGGUACUUUGAAGAAUGCUGGUAAUCAAACCCAAGAAGUUUGUCAGGUGCAGAAAUUAAAGUUCCCAAAAUAAGAUGUCACCAGAUUAAGAAGUGCAAAGACAUGUUACAC